CCGAGUUUACAACUCCCAAACCCCUGUGAACAUACCUAUACGUUGCCUCGGCGGAUCAGCCCGCGCCCCGUAAAAAGGGACGGCCCGCCCGAGGACCCCUAACUCUGUUUUUAGUGGAACUUCUGAGUAAAACAAACAAAUAAAUCA
rnacentral:misc_RNA from 1 species